rnacentral:rRNA from 1 species
CCUACGGGGGGCUGCAGUGGGGAAUAUUGGACAAUGGGGGCAACCCUGAUCCAGCCAUGCCGCGUGUGUGAAGAAGGCCCUCGGGUUGUAAAGCACUUUCAGUGAGGAAGAACGCCUGGUGGUUAAUACCCAUCAGGAAAGACAUCACUCACAGAAGAAGCACCGGCUAACUCCGUGCCAGCAGCCGCGGUAAUACGGAGGGUGCGAGCGUUAAUCGGAAUUACUGGGCGUAAAGCGCGCGUAGGUGGCUUGAUAAGCCGGUUGUGAAAGCCCCGGGCUCAACCUGGGAACGGCAUCCGGAACUGUCAAGCUAGAGUGCAGGAGAGGAAGGUAGAAUUCCCGGUGUAGCGGUGAAAUGCGUAGAGAUCGGGAGGAAUACCAGUGGCGAAGGCGGCCUUCUGGACUGACACUGACACUGAGGUGCGAAAGCGUGGGUAGCAAACAGGAUUAGAUACCCCAGUUGUC